UACGGGGGGGGCAAGCGUUGUUCGGAAUUACUGGGCGUAAAGGGCUCGUAGGUGGCCAACUAAGUCAGACGUGAAAUCCCUCAGCUUAACUGGGGAACUGCGUCUGAUACUGGAUGGCUUGAGUUUGGGAGAGGGAUGCGGAAUUCCAGGUGUAGCGGUGAAAUGCGUAGAUAUCUGGAGGAACACCGGUGGCGAAGGCGGCAUCCUGGACCGGCAUUGACGCUGAGGGGCGAAAGCCAGGGGAGCAAACGGG
rnacentral:rRNA from 1 species